rnacentral:misc_RNA from 1 species
UGUGAUGUCGACGUUUAAUAACGCUAAGCAUGCCAAAGAAACAUUCACAAGAGGUGAGUAUAAAGAUAGCAGAUAUGGCGCAUUUAUGGACAGCAUCUACAAAGCGGAACACUAAAUGACCUUAUUGAAUCCAGAAAAAACCGACCUUAUUUCUGCCGAAGAGCAGCAAGAGUAUUUGCAGAAAUCUGCAGGUCGUUUAAAGAAAAUAGAAGGUUCAGAAGCACAAGACCGCUAAUAAGUACGGCGCGGAAAAUCUGGUAAUUGCGGAAGAUGUUGAAAAACUUAGUAGAAAUGUACAUUCGACACUGCCGCCCAGCUUCAACAUCCAGCCGCCUCCUGUUCGUCAAUUGAACUGGGAAACCAGUUUGAUGUGCACAGGAGAUGUCCAGGCACUGGGCAGCGGUUACCGGUAAUUGCCACGCCGUAAACCCCACCAGUUUAAGAAAGGUGGCAGGUACAUACUCAUGGGGAAAUUGCGAAAACAGAGAGAAAGUUUUAGUGGCAGAACAUAUGGCACACCACUUGGCCACACAAGAAAGUUAUUAUAAAGCGGUGCAAACUACAAAAAAUACUGUCAGAGCCCAUGAACUGAUAGAGGCGAUUGGGAAAAAGAAAUUCAGAAGAUAAAAUUUCAAAUUGUUACUAUAUUUACGUAUUAUCUGCAUCAUAAUAUAUUUUUCAGUCAAUGAUGUUUAUAAUCAUGAUGUGAUUAAAUAAACCAGGUAAAUAUGACAGAAAUGUAAAUUUAAGCAAGUCAAUUCCUGGAAGCGUGGUUGCCGUUUACUGUUCAUUUGUUUACACAAACACAAAAUACUGUAUUUCGAACCAGUCAACAAAACUCAGAGAACACUUGGUGCACCCGAAAGACAAGAUCACAAAAGAAAACACACUGUGGAGCCAUAUACAAAAUUGGUUGCCGGAAUUGUGACUCUGUUUACAUUGGGAAACGGGUAGACCCUUAAAGAAACAUCUGGAGGAACACAUGAAAGAUGUUGAUAAUGAUAAUAACGCAAAAAGAGUGCGGAUGCGCUUUUUAGUAGUCUUCAAAAAAAUGUCAAUUUUUUCAAGGUCCUCUUUCAGACAGUUCAUCGGUUUAGGAGGCAGUAUUUGAUUCCAUCACCAAAGGGUUAGCCUGCACAGAGCUGGGAACUGUCAUUUAUGCAUAUAGGCGUAUCAGUAGCCGACGGACGUACAUAUACUUGUUGACGUUAGAUUAGUCAAGUCUGGGUAGCUAGCCUCAAUAUGCUGCUUACCUUGCUUAAUUUGCUAUAUUUUCUUCCAUUGAAAGCUGAAUAUUUCAACUAUGCUUUUCUUUGAAUUAUGCUUUCAAUUAGUUCAUUUGAUUGGUUGUUCAGUCACUCACACUAUCAUUGGUAAACACAUGAUGUUUAUCAUACUGCCAUACAUGAUGUAUCAUACAUGAUACAUGAUGUUUAUCAUACUGCCUGCGCAGUAGCUAAGCGGUUUAAUAAUUAUCACAUGUUUCCUACAGUUCAGUUCUUUAAAAAACUACAGUAUGAUGAAAUUAUUGACUUUUCAAAUUUUUCAGAAGACCUACAUAUAUCUGAUCUGAACCCACUUUAAUUCUACAUUUUUGAUGUCUAAGUUUACAUUUAAUAUGUACAUUAACUUUAAUGCACCUUGGCGAUAUACUGUGCAUCUUUGGGCGUUUUCACUUUCUUAUCAGGCAAUCAGUCACAGUCCCCACCCCUUUGGUUGUUCAUUUGUUUAUUGUUUAUUUGCUGGGUGGGGUUGGAUGCACGGUGGGGUUGGGUCAGUGGUUGGAUGCACAGUGGGGUGUUUUUCGCAUUUUUCGGCACCCUCCUUUGUUUAAAAACAAAUAAUUGUUUAGGAGAACGUGUUAGCAGCGGCCAGUACUCAAACAAAAAAAAAACACAUAAAACAAGGAGGAGGAGUAGUGCCCCCAAGCAGGACCAGCAUGUGAUAUCACCAGGUCAGCCCGUGUAAGGGGAAAUAAUUUGAAUUACCAUUUAAAAUUAGAUUUAAUGCUGUUUUACAAUUUGAGAUUAGGCCUAUAUAUUUGAGAGAAUGCCUUGCAUUCCAUAAUUGCUUUGAAACCAAGGCCAGUGCUUAUAAUUCGCUUAAUUGUUUUUAACUGCUUUGGCUUUCCUAGAAUUCAAUUUUAAAAUAUUUUCGUAUGGGCAAUGAACACUAAUGAUUGUAAUCUUAAGCUGUGUCCAGACAAUCACAGGCCAAACUAAAUUUUAUUUUUAUUUUAGGCCUGAAACAAGCCUUGAGCUAUACUAUGUCAGACCUGCCAACUCACCCGAUCCUGUUGGGUGUCACCCGAUAUUUAAACAAAUCUCCAUUUCACCUGAUCGAAAGUAAUUUUCACCCGAUUUCACAGGCCACCCCCUCCCCAAAAAUACUCCGAUUUAUGCAUAAUUUGAUUGAUUUGAUCAUUAUUAUUCAAUAUAUUUGCCACCUGCUCACUUCGCGGUGCAAUAAACAGCCAUUUCCAAUUCGAAUGUAGCAACCCGUGGCCAAUGAUUUGUAGUGACGUGACUUUUUUGGUAUCUUGCAUCAUCUUUUGGUUAAUUAUGGAAACCUCCAGAUUUUUUGGUAAAUCUCCAGAUUUUUUUAAGAUUCUUAAAAAAAUCUCCAGAUUUUCAUGACCCAAGGGUUGGCAGGUGCUAUGUGUGCAUGCUUAUUAAGGUAAGUGUACAGGUUUUGAUGAGAGUAAGAAAACUCUAAAAAAAUUUUUUUUUUUUAAUUACAUUGCAAACUGUCCAGAAAAAGAAAUGAUAAGGAUAUUUAUAAAGGGGAAGACAUGAGUUUGCAAGUCAAAUAAUUUGAAUUGAAUGAUGACAUUUAAUAAUCCAAGCUGGCUUUCUAUCAGUUCCUAGCCUUUAGGGCAAAACCAUUACCAACCAUUUGAAGUGUUUCUCUCCAAGAAAACAGUCUACUUUUAGAAUUUAAAGGUCGAAUGAGUUUGUGGCA